rnacentral:miRNA from 1 species
ACUGGCACAUUUUUGAGUGCA